GGCUCAGUAGGCUAAGCGUGAGUGGCUGCCCCAAAGCCACCCAAUGACCCUCUUGGUCAAGUGGAGACUAAAACCCAAAUCUCCAGAGUCCCAGCAGUCCCAUGCUCCAACCACUAGACCAUCCUGGCUCUCAGUUUGAGGCUGGCAGGAAACUUCAGUAGUAUAUUCAUGAGACCUUCCUGACUUUUCAUGCCUUUUGAAGACACUUCUCACGGGCAACAGACUGUGCUACUUCACCUCUGUCAGUUGAGAGCUGCCUAAUCUUUGGAAUGUGUCUAGUCUCUUAUUUAUUAUUCAUUUAUUUAAGAUUUUUUUAUACUGUGGUUCAUUAAACAUCUCAUGACAGUUUACAUACUUCCUGCUGAUAGAUGAUAAGAAUGCUGAACUCCUUCUCUGUCAUUCAACAGGAAACAAUAAGCAGGGGGUUGUUGUGGCUCAAUUUUCUGUUAUUUUGUCUUGACCAGCCAUCACAUUCCAGGGCACCCUGACACGGAAGACUUGCGGCUUCUUCCGAGAAGCUCCUCGGAUGCUCUCACCCCGUAUGACAGACAUGGGCCAGAAAGUGGGAGAGCUUGGCAUGCAAUGAAAUCCACACUUCUGGAAUGUUAGGAGCCCGGUCAAGAUUAACUCGUUUGUACUCAAAGUGGAAGUAAUCAGAAAGGCUUAAUCCAGCCAAAGUUAAUCACCGAAAGUCCAGGGACGGGACCAAGACACACCAACAAACUGGAUUCCUACAAGCUUCAGCAGGAAUGGAUUCCGACUGUUUUGUGCUGGGCUGGGCUUUGCAUUGUUCAUGUAUGUGAAGUUGCUCUGUGCACCAAUUUCCUGCAUUUAACAGAAGGCGUGGUUUCAAGGGGACUGAAAUGCUUGUGCACUCUUACAUUUUGGCCCAGAAAAACAGAACAUUCAGAGCUCUGCUGAACCAGAUUGCCUGUCGAUUUAUCCCAGCAUCCUGUUUCCAACAGUGGAUAGUCACAUGGCUCUGGGGAGCCCUAAAAGUAAUUCUCCCCUGCUGUUUGCUCCUCAGUAUUUGGAAGUAUAUUCCCUCUGCUCCUUGCAAAUGCACUUCCUGAAUGAUUACAA